UACGGAGGAUCCAAGCGUUAUCCGGAUUUAUUGGGUUUAAAGGGUGCGUAGGCGGCCUGUUAAGUCAGGGGUGAAAGACGGUAGCUUAACUAUCGCAGUGCCCUUGAUACUGAUGGGCUUGAAUAUACUAGAGGUAGGCGGAAUGUGACAAGUAGCGGUGAAAUGCAUAGAUAUGUCACAGAACACCAAUUGCGAAGGCAGCUUACUAUGGUAUUAUUGACGCUGAGGCACGAAAGCGUGGGGAUCAAACAGG
rnacentral:rRNA from 1 species